rnacentral:rRNA from 1 species
UACGUAGGGUGCGAGCGUUAAUCGGAAUUACUGGGCGUAAAGCGUGCGCAGGCGGUUCUACAAGACAGAUGUGAAAUCCCCGGGCUCAACCUGGGAACUGCAUUUGUGACUGUAUAGCUAGAGUACGGUAGAGGGGGAUGGAAUUCCGCGUGUAGCAGUGAAAUGCGUAGAUAUGCGGAGGAACACCGAUGGCGAAGGCAAUCCCCUGGACCUGUACUGACGCUCAUGCACGAAAGCGUGGGGAGCAAACAGG